AUGGAUUGGAGGGAGUGCUCCGAAAUCAAAAUAUCUAAAAACAAUUAUAUGAAACGAACGAGAAUUUCGAUACGAUUAUUAUGACAUCGAAAAAAAUCUGAUCAGAAACAGUUUUUUGGGCAGCUAAAAAUCAGGCAGAAAAUCGAAUCGUCGUAAUUCGUUCACAAAAAGUCAAUUGAACACAAAAUACAGUUUAAUUUAGUUAUUGGAACAACCUUUUGGUUGUUUAAUGUUGAAACAAAAGUACUAGCGAUCUUAUCGAACAAUAGGACGUAAGCGUAAUUUCUUCAUUUUUCCCGACUUUGCUCGAAAAAAGAAAUUUCCUUUUUUUUUUUUUUGUCAAUUUUCAAUGGUGGAAUGAAGAUAAUUUCAUAUGGUUUUAAGUGUAGUUUUAUUUGGAAGUGUAAUUGAAAUAUUCAAAAGAUUAGGGGUUUAACUUGAUUUUCGGUACAAUUAUGAGUAACCGAAUGGAUUGGAGGGAGUGCUCCGAAAUCAAGAUAUCUAAAAACAAUUAUAUGAAACGAACCAGAAUUUCGAUACGAUUAUUAUGACAUCGAAAAAAAUCUGAUCGGAAACAGUUUUUUGUGCAGCUAAAAAUCAGGCCGAAAAGACGAAUCGUCGUAAUUCGUUCACAAAAAGUCAAUUGAACUCAAAAUACACUUUAAUUUAGUUAUUAGAACAACCUUUUGAUUGUUUAAUGUUGAAACAAAAGUACUAGCGAUCAAAUCGAACAAUAGGACGUAAGCGUAAUUUCUUCAUUUUUCCCGACUUUGGUCGAAAAAAGAAAUUUCUUUUUUUUUUUGUCAAUUUUCAAUGGUGGAAUGAAGAUAAUU